rnacentral:rRNA from 1 species
AGUGAACGCUGGCGGCAGGCCUAACACAUGCAAGUCGAACGGUAACACACUUUGAGCUUCUUACUAGGGGUGGCGAGUGGCGGAAGGGUGCGGAAUAUAUCGGAAUCUAUUUUUUAGUGGAGGAUAUCGUAGGGUAACUUCUGCUAUUACCUCAUAAGACCUACGGGUGAAAGAAGGGCAAUUUUGGACCUUGCGCGCUUGAAUGAGCCGAUGUCGGAUUAGCUAGUUGGUGGGGUAAAGGCCUACCAAGGCGACGAUCCGUAGCUGGUCUGAGAGGAGGACCAGCCACACUGGAACUGAGACACGGCCCAGACUCCUACGGGAGGCAGCAGUGGGGAAUUUUGGACAAUGGGCGCAAGCCUGAUCCAGCAAUGCCGCGUGGGGGAAGAAGGCCUUCGGGUUGUAAACCCCUUUUGGAGGGAAAGAAAAGGUGCAGGUUAAUACCCGGCUGUACUGACGGUACCUAAAGAAUAAGCACCGGCUAACUACGUG